ACAGUGUGGACGGACAGAACUGUGUCCAAUUGUGGUACAGGCCAGGGAUGAAGGGUAGAUAUGACGAUGAGUACUGUUUUGAAAAGAAGGGAUUCAUAUGCCAAAUAGCUAUAGAUUGUGACUGUGAUUGUUAAACUUUUCCAUCUGAUGUAGCUAUCAUGGUUUACCUGGUAACUUCAUUAUUAACGUAGACAAAAACCUCAAUUGUGUCGCUUAUAUUGAAAAAAAGAUUCGUAUACGUCAUUUCAACACCUCGACUUCUAUAUUUUUAGUGUAACUGACUGAUACUAUGAGAACUACUAUAUAUAAUACACUAUAUAAUUUGUUGAUUGAUUUCAUUUAAUCUUGUACAUCUUGUAUCCAUCUUGUAAAACUCAGAGAGGUUGUAGCAUAAAUAAAAUAUGCAGUAAUGUCUAAA